GCUCGAGUGGCGAACGGGUGAGUAACACGUGAGUAACCUGCCCUUGACUUUGGGAUAACUUCAGGAAACUGGGGCUAAUACCGAAUAGGAGCUCCUGCUGCAUGGUGGGGGUUGGAAAGUUUCGGCGGUUGGGGAUGGACUCGCGGCUUAUCAGCUUGUUGGUGGGGUAGUGGCUUACCAAGGCUUUGACGGGUAGCCGGCCUGAGAGGGUGACCGGCCACAUUGGGACUGAGAUACGGCCCAG
rnacentral:rRNA from 1 species